rnacentral:lncRNA from 1 species
CUGGAAAACAUAUAUAUGCUUCUCUAGUACAAACUAAUUAGUCGAGUAGCCAGCACGAAACAGAGCAGAGCAGAGCAGCUCCUCCUCUGUUUUGUCUGGACCUACAGUAACUGAAUUCAGUCAAUGAAACUACUUUGUUUUGGCCUACUGAACACUCUCAAUACCGUCCUCAUGGUCUCAAAUAAGCAGAAACUCCAUCUACAAUUGUUUACAAGAUCCAACAGCAGAACCUACAUUUUCUGAUGCCCAUCUACAACUGUGCCCAUCUACAACUGUUUACAAAAGGAUGGGGUGGGGAGCAAAACACUUCCAUAGCAUAGAUACUCCAUUGUUACGUGGUACUUACAUGUUUAUUCCUGGCAUCUUCUGAUGCCCAUCCCUUCUUAUCACUAGAGCAACACUCCUUGUAUAGUCUGAUAUAGCCACAAUUCUGAUAAUACAAGAUUCAAAGUC